rnacentral:rRNA from 1 species
AACGAACGCUGGCGGCAGGCCUAACACAUGCAAGUCGAGCGCCCCGCAAGGGGAGCGGCGGACGGGUGAGUAACGCGUGGGAACGUACCCUUUGCUACGGAAUAGCCUCGGGAAACUGGGAGUAAUACCGUAUGUGCCCUUCGGGGGAAAGAUUUAUCGGCAAAGGAUCGGCCCGCGUUGGAUUAGGUAGUUGGUGGGGUAAUGGCCUACCAAGCCGACGAUCCAUAGCUGGUUUGAGAGGAUGAUCAGCCACACUGGGACUGAGACACGGCCCAGACUCCUACGGGAGGCAGCAGUGGGGAAUCUUAGACAAUGGGCGCAAGCCUGAUCUAGCCAUGCCGCGUGAGCGAUGAAGGCCUUAGGGUUGUAAAGCUCUUUCAGUGGGGAAGAUAAUGACUGUACCCACAGAAGAAGCCCCGGCUAACUCCGUGCCAGCAGCCGCGGUAAUGUACAGUGU